ACGAUGGCGAUCCGAAGAACGUCAAUUUUCAUGAUUAUUUCACGACGAAGAUCAUCACAUCAAUGAAUCAAAUAAUACGGACAUGCUUUUGGUAUUAGCAGGGUGCUGGCACCAUAUGCAACAAUACUUUCAUCUGUGAAUACCCACUUGCUAAGCCCACCAUGAACUACGAAGGCCAAUUAAUAUGUAAGGACACCAAUUAACAGACACUUUCCCAUUAUCGUACAUCAUAUACAUGGGUGGUCAAACUUACUGGAUGGUUUAUCAACACUCCCAUGCUCAUGAACAGCCUUUCCCCAGGAAUUUUGCCCUGAAGUAACAUUGCAGUCUAUUGUCUCCAUUCUUUUUACAACCCUGGCAGCCAUGCAGGAUAGAAGCUGAUCAUAUGUUCUUGACAGCAAAUAAUAAUGUCUUGGACAAGUCAAAGAAUUUCCUCCAGUCUUACAGAGAAAUGACAGUUGAUAAAAGAAUGGUGGACACAAAGUAAAAAUGCUCUUCAACAUUUUGUUGAAGAUUUCAGUCUGACUUGGAAUUCAUCUGGCAAUGUUUCUGGUUUUGUAUAUUUGG